AUUGAACGCCGGCGGAAUGCUUUACACAUGCAAGUCGAACGGCAGCACGGACUUCGGUCUGGUGGCGAGUGGCGAACGGGUGAGUAAUGUAUCGGAACGUGCCCAGUCGUGGGGGAUAACGUAGUGAAAAUUACGCUAAUACCGCAUACGAUCUAUGGAUGAAAGCGGGGGAUCGCAAGACCUCGCGCGAUUGGAGCGGCCGAUAUCAGAUUAGGUGGUUGGUGGGGUAAAGGCCCACCAAGCCAACGAUCUGUAGCUGGUCUGAGAGGACGACCAGCCCCACUGGAACUGAGACACGGUCCAGACUCCUACGGGAGGCAGCAGUGGGGAAUUUUGGACAAUGGGCGAAAGCCUGAUCCAGCCAUUCCGCGUGCAGGAUAAAGGCCCUCGGGUUGUAAACUGCUUUUGUACAGAACGAAAAGGUUUCUACUAAUACUAGGAGCUCAUGACGGUACUGUAAGAAUAAGCACCGGCUAACUACGUGCCAGCCGCCGCGGUAA
rnacentral:rRNA from 1 species